rnacentral:rRNA from 1 species
CAAGUCGAACGGUAACAGGAAGCAGCUUGCUGCUUCGCUGACGAGUGGCGGACGGGUGAGUAAUGUCUGGGAAACUGCCUGAUGGAGGGGGAUAACUACUGGAAACGGUGGCUAAUACCGCAUAACGUCGCAAGACCAAAGAGGGGGACCUUCGGGCCUCUUGCCAUCAGAUGUGCCCAGAUGGGAUUAGCUAGUUGGUGAGGUAACGGCUCACCAAGGCGACGAUCCCUAGCUGGUCUGAGAGGAUGACCAGCCACACUGGAACUGAGACACGGUCCAGACUCCUACGGGAGGCAGCAGUGGGGAAUAUUGCACAAUGGGCGCAAGCCUGAUGCAGCCAUGCCGCGUGUAUGAAGAAGGCCUUCGGGUUGUAAAGUACUUUCAGCGGGGAGG